GAGGGUAUAGCUCAAAUGGUUGAGUGCAUGCAUGCCUAGCAUGCAUAAGGUCCUGGGUUCAAUCCCUAGUACCUCCA
rnacentral:tRNA from 1 species